rnacentral:rRNA from 1 species
UACGAAGGGGGCAAGCGUUGUUCGGAAUUACUGGGCGUAAAGGGCGCGUAGGCGGCUUACCAAGUCAGGCGUGAAAUUCCCGGGCUCAACCUGGGGGCUGCGCUUGAGACUGGCACGCUCGAGUUCGGGAGAGGAUGGUGGAAUUCCCAGUGUAGAGGUGAAAUUCGUAGAUAUUGGGAAGAACACCGAUGGCGAAGGCGGCUCACUGGCCCGAUACUGACGCUGAGGAGCGAAAGCGUGGGGAGCGAACAGG